GAGAGUAUAACUCAGUGGUACAGUGCAUGCCUAGCAUGCAUGAAGUCCUGAGUUCAAUCCCCAGUACCUCCA
rnacentral:tRNA from 1 species